GCGCUGGGUGCCCGGCCGGCGCUGGCACGGACACGGCUCAAGGGCUGCCCGUGGCUCCCGGGCCAGGGGCUGCUCUGAGCAGGCUCCUGGAGACGCUUCAGCCUGGAUACAGGCCACUGACAGCCCAAAAGCAGCCCAAGGAGCAGCUGGCGUGUCCUGGUGAUGGUGGCACUGGCUGCGUGCAGAGGGGCUCAGACAGCAAUUCCUGGUUCCAGCCUCCCAGAGCUCCCAGGCAGCUGCCAGCUAUUAAAUGCCAACCGACAGCCUGCAGAGAUGCCUUCAAAUCAAAGGUUCAGGUGGGAUGAAGUUUUGUUUGGACGAAGGUGGGAGUUUCCAGGGAGCCAGCUGGAAGUGCAGAAGGGAUGGAAAGCUUUCCCAGGUGCUGGACUUGCCUCUGUGGAUGUGUGCUGAGCUCUCACUACAGGGGACUGUGAGGCCUGACUGGCUGUGAGUUUGUGUUCUUCUCACAGGAGAAUCAGAAAUGAUCAUUAAUUAGACCACAGAAAUCUUUUCUGAAACCUUUCCCCUUUCCUGCCCUUUGCUGGUAAGUCUUUUCUUUCUGCCUUUAACUCUACAGCUGUUCCCUGAUGUCAUU